rnacentral:misc_RNA from 1 species
UCAAAUAGGCCGGAGGGUAACCUCCAGCGUCUAUAUCCUCUGAUUUAAUUUACCUUUGUUGCUUUGGCGGAUCGUGGCAUCUUGCCCCGGUGGUCAGGCGCCAGCCUGCCGGCCGAGUGUCCGCCAGAGACCCAACCAAACCCUUUAACCAACGAUAUGACCAGUCUGAACAAAAACAAAUAAAGUUA